rnacentral:rRNA from 1 species
UACGUAGGGUGCGAGCGUUGUCCGGAAUUAUUGGGCGUAAAGAGCUCGUAGGCGGUUUGUCAUGUCUGCUGUGAAAUCCCGAGGCUCAACCUCGGGCCUGCAGUGGGUACGGGCAGACUGGAGUGCGGUAGGGGAGAAUGGAAUUCCUGGUGUAGCGGUGGAAUGCGCAGAUAUCAGGAGGAACACCGAUGGCGAAGGCAGUUCUCUGGGCCGUAACUGACGCUGAGGAGCGAAAGCGUGGGGAUCAAACAGG